rnacentral:rRNA from 1 species
GAUGAACGCUGGCGGCGUGCUUAACACAUGCAAGUCGAACGGUGACGCUCCAGCUUGCUGGAGUGGAUCAGUGGCGAACGGGUGAGUAACACGUGAGCAACCUGCCCCUGACUCUGGUAUAGGCUCUGGAAACGGCGUCUAAUACUGGAUACGAGACGAGCCCGCAUGGGCACCUUCUGGAAAUUUGUGCGGUUGGGGAUGGGCUCGCGGCCUAUCAGCUUGUUGGUGAGGUAAUGGCUCACCAAGGCAACGACGGGUAGCCGGCCUGAGAGGGCGAACGGCCACCAUGGGACUGCGAGACGGCCCAGACUCCUACGGGAGGCAGCAGUGGGGAAUAUUGCACAAUGGGCGCAAGUCUGAUGCAGAGACGCCGCGGGAGGGAUGACGGCCUUCGGGUUGUAAACCGCUUUCAGCAGGGAAGAAGCGAAAGUGACGGUACCUGAAGAAGAAGCACCGGCUAACUACGUG